rnacentral:misc_RNA from 1 species
AAGGAGUCUAACAUGCUUGCGAGUGUUUGGGUGUCAAACCCAUACGCGUAAUGAAAGCGGAUGGAGGUGGGCUCCUUUACCGGAGCACCAUCGACCGAUCCGGAUUUUUAAUGAUGGAUUUAUGUAAGAGCACUUAUGUUGGGACCCGAAGGAUGGUGAACUAUGCUUGAAUAGGGUGAAGCCAGGGAAAAUUCUGGUGAGGGUUGUUGGGGUUUUGAAGGGCAAAUUGUUCGUUAAAAUUUGGUAUUGGGGCGAAAGACUAAUCGAACUAUCUAGUAGCUGGUUCCUGC